rnacentral:rRNA from 1 species
AAAUUUGAGUGGACCUGAUCCUAGUACGAGAGGACCGGAUUGGACGAACCUCUGGUGUAUCUGUUGUUCCGCCAGGAGCACUGCAGAGUAGCUACGUUCGGAAGGGAUAAGCGCUGAAAGCAUAUAAGCGCGAAACCCACCACAAGAUGAGAUUUCUUUAAAGGACCGUGGGAGACUACCACGUUGAUAGGCUACAGGUGUAAAGGCAGUAAUGUCAUAGCCGAGUAGUACUAAUACUCCGUAAAGCUUGAUGCG